AGAGUUUGAUCCUGGCUCAGAUUGAACGCUGGCGGAAUGCUUUACACAUGCAAGUCGAACGGUAGAGGGGGCAACCCCUCGAGAGUGGCGAACGGGUGAGUAAUAUAUCGGAACGUGCCCAGUCGUGGGGGAUAACGUAGCGAAAGUUACGCUAAUACCGCAUACGAUCUAAGGAUGAAAGCGGGGGAUCGCAAGACCUCGCGCGAUUGGAGCGGCCGAUAUCAGAUUAGGUAGUUGGUGGGGUAAAGGCUCACCAAGCCAACGAUCUGUAGCUGGUCUGAGAGGACGACCAGCCACACUGGAACUGAGACACGGUCCAGACUCCUACGGGAGGCAGCAGUGGGGAAUUUUGGACAAUGGACGCAAGUCUGAUCCAGCCAUUCCGCGUGCAGGAUGAAGGCCCUCGGGUUGUAAACUGCUUUUGUACGGAACGAAAAGGUCUCUCUUAAUACGGGGGGCUCAUGACGGUACCGUAAGAAUAAGCACCGGCUAACUACGUGCCAGCAGCCGCGGUAAUACGUAGGGUGCAAGCGUUAAUCGGAAUUACUGGGCGUAAAGCGUGCGCAGGCGGUUAUAUAAGACAGAUGUGAAAUCCCCGGGCUCAACCUGGGAACUGCAUUUGUGACUGUAUAGCUAGAGUACGGUAGAGGGGGAUGGAAUUCCGCGUGUAGCAGUGAAAUGCGUAGAUAUGCGGAGGAACACCGAUGGCGAAGGCAAUCCCCUGGACCUGUACUGACGCUCAUGCACGAAAGCGUGGGGAGCAAACAGGAUUAGAUACCCUGGUAGUCCACGCCCUAAAC
rnacentral:rRNA from 1 species